GAAAAAGACAUGCUAAACUGGAUCCUUUCUGAAGCUGUCUUAAGGGAAAUUCACUUUUAUGGUAUGAUCAAAUAUAAAUCUGUAAAAUUGUGUUUCAAAGAAUAAUAAUUAAUUUGCCAUGCUACUUUAUUAAGGGGUACGGUAGGGUAAAUGUGUCAUCUUUGUUUUAGCCCUAUAUCUGUGCAACUGUUCUGUAUACUUCAGUGUGAAAUUUCGCCUGUUGAUUAAGGAUGCAUUGGGACAUUACAUGGUGUAAUUAUAUCCUUCAGCCUUUCUUACUUUCUUUUUUUUUUAUUUGAGAACCACAUUCUAGCCUGGGGUGUAAAGUUUGAUGUACCUUUUCUCAGAACCAAAGGAUAGCAUGACCGUAAAAUUUUGCACACUAAUGCCACAUGAUACUUGCUUUAAUCCAUACCAAAACGAAUGGGUUCCUACAUUUAUCUCGCCAGAAAAAAAAUACUGCCCUCAUUUAUCACAUACCAUAUACAGACCUUCUGAUUAGUGUUUUUUCCUUUCUUAAUUAUAGUUCAGACAUUUUUUUCAAAGUUUUAGGUUCAGACUAUUUGGAAGAGACUUCGUUCGGUAUUAUCUCAGAAAACUUCAGCAUAAUCAAUCGGAUAGUUUUCAAGAAAAGGUACAUCUGUGUUCAAAAUUUUUCAAAUAAGUGAUGUUGAGAAAAAUGCCAUUUUGUUCAAGAACACACGCAGAGAGUGCUCACAACAAAAACAAAUGACUACUCUACAAAAGCACCCCUGGUGAGAAAAUUUGCAAUCACAACUUAUGAGAAUGGCAGAAUAUGACUAUUUAACCAUAUUUAUUUAAAAAAAAACACGUAUAUGCCGAAAUUGUGAUGGAAAACAACAUGUAAACAAGCCCUUGGGUCUGUCAGGAGGCACGGUUUUUCGGUGGCAUUUUUAAAAGGCUUCGAGUUCUAUGUGCUCCCCACUGCAUGGUGUUGUUCCUCACAGUGCGUAUUAUUUUUUAGUAAUGAAAUUUUAAAAAAUUGCAUUUUUGCUUAAGUUACCCUACCAUACGCCCUUAAAAGAGCACUUAAACAGACUUUUCAUCUCUCUUUUUCUUUCUUUUUUUACUAUACUUGUUAGCUGCUAACUUAGUAAUCUAUGAGGCCUGAUUUCCUCAAAAACACAGCGAAUCAUUAAUUGCAUCAUCUUUAAUGGGACCUCUUUAAGACACAUUCCAUGCUAGGUGUGGGUACAGUUGUGUUGAGCCAGCGUCAUCUUUAUAGCACAGAAAUUGGAGGUGGUGAUCAUACAAUAUCACAAACCAUUGACACAUAAGACAUAGGUAGGUGAGCUCAGUACAGUGGCCAGUGGUGACACCAAGACCAUCUUACUUACAGCUGAGUGUGUAAAGCAUCCAACAGAAAAAAUUGUUCACAUUCUAUGAGAAGUCACAGCAGUGGAUGAAGUUUAUUCCACAUCAAAUGCAGAGUAGUGCAGUGUAGAGAAUAAAAGUUUGGCUUUACAUGGCAAUGCACUUCGAGCUUCCGGCAGCACAAUCACACUGUGGCUUAUGAAAGCUGCAUUAGUUGUGUGCAAUACCACAUGACCAUCGCCUGCAGCUUACACGAUGCAAGUAGGAGUCCUGCUGGACACACACUAUGCGACAAAGCUGCACUCUACGUGGUGUGCAUUUUGAACUGUUCACAUUUAAAAAUGAUGCAGUCAGCUUUUUAAUAGAACAGUAAUUGAUAAUUAUCCGAUAAAUGAAAAUGAAAGCAUACCAUACAAUUUUUGUUUGUCAGUAUUGUUUUCUGGCCAUUCUCAGGGCAAGCUAAGUAUGUUCCGUCCACAAGAUAUAUGCGGUGCAACCCAGUGUUAAAGGGAACACGCAUGUGUAGAACAUGUGAGGAUUUUAUUUUCCCCAUCUGCUAAAUGUACAAUCACCCACUUUUUGAGGUAGAUGGCUUGUGGUUGGUUGUGCUGGCCACUUUCUACUCACUCGUGCAGUUUGACAGCUUCAACCAGCACAUGCUGUUCAAGCCAUCUUCAGAGAAGGGAAACAUAACAUCCAUUUAUAAUUCUUGCUUUUGAAGCCUUCAAACCAGCAGACUGGCAAAAUAUGCUCUAGUUGAUGUAAGCGUCACAAGGUGGCACCACCACUGCUGCUGUGCAUUUCCCUCUUCUGUGUAUCACUGCUUAUUAUUAAUAUAUUUACAUAGGCAGGUUAAAAACUCUUGAGUGCAUUUUUCUCAUAUAACAGAAUUGAAAUGCAAUAGCCUGCAAAGUGAGACUCUAUCAAUGAUCCCGUAUAAUCAUGUCUUUGGAAGAACCUGAAUCCCCACUGAGCCCAACACAGUGAUGAACUCAUUUUGUGUAAGCUAGUGUGCUUGUGUAUGCUCCAUGUCAUUGGGUAGGGAGCUCAUCAAUGCACUGUAAUGCAUAUAAACCAUUUGGCAGUGCACCUAGUGCCAGCUGUAGACACUUUUUUAACAUUCAUAUUGCAUGCAACUCGGACAUCUUUGUAGCUCUAAAACACGUAAAAGACAUAUUGUUUAAAUGUCAUGAUGUAUAGCAUUAACAGAUGCAGUAUCAUCGUCACACCCAACCAUUCAAAAUGAACAGCAUAAAUCUAUGUCAUGUGCCUUCUGCUUUGCAUUGGCUGCCAGAAGUCAUUGGUGUGGAUCGUUGGCAUGGAAACUGAUUAGUCAGAGUCAAUUAAAAUUCAAGUGCUCUUAAGUGCACUGAAGAAUGAAGCCUUAUCGUAAACCAAUGUUAAAUAAAAACGAAACAUGCAAUUGUGUCACAGGGCCCCAUUAACAGUGAACCACACUGUACAUGCAGAGAGCACUGCAGCUAGCUGCAGCCUGGCAUCUGUGCAUUUUUAUUUUGAAGCUUUUGCAUAUUCAUACAUAAGUACUGUUGAGCUACUGUAGUGUUUUAACUGCAUAAAGAUUGUUUGUCUGAAUUUUGUGGAAGCAGGCAAUCCUGUGAUUACAAAGCAUCAUCACAUCCAUUCAGAGGCAAAAAGGUCUUUUGCACUGCAUCGUCAUAGUGUGUCUGGAUGAUAAAAAAUUUAUUGGUUCAGAUGCCAUUUUAACAGGUGUUUAAAAACGUCUUCAUGGGGGUAGUGCCACCAGGACAGAUGCAGCUGAUGGUUAUUGUGAUCGUGGUUUACAUGAUUGUGUCAAAACACAAUAUGAGUUAUGAUGAUUUAUUUAUUGUUUUGUUUUUCAUUGCAGUUUGAGUGUAGUAGGGUUAUUAUGAUUUACAUGGUAAGUAGAUUACAUGGCUUACAUGGUACUCUUAGAAUAACACACUAUGAGUCGUAAUGAUUUCUUCAUUGCUUUAUUUCUUUGGGCACUCAGAACUGUAUAGUGUAUUGAAGCAACAUUUGAGGGCAGUACUAGAUAAUAAAAGCUUAUAGUUUCGAAUAUGUGGCAUGCAGUCUGGAAAUUAAAAAUUCGUAACAUUUAUAUUUUUGUCUGGCCGAUCCCGUAAAGCUCCUAUGUGCAUGUAGAGAUUGGUGUGGUGGUGUAUUGUUGCAGUUCAUACAGAGAAAAUAGCAAGAUGUGCUACUUAUAGGGUACAGAUUUUUUUUUUUGCAUUUGAAGCUGUGUUACUAUAAUUCGUAACAGAAAUAUAGCUUGUAGUUUCUUGCUCGUAUAGCUUUGACAGGUUUGUAAUUCAGUUUCUUGAGUAAGACACUCUUUGCAGGUGAUGAAACAAAGCAAAAUGACAACUGAUUGAACAACGUGGUGAACAUGUGUACCAAGUGAGGAAAGUGUAUCAAGGAUGAGCAGACUAGUCAAGCACAUCUGAUUGAAUCUUAGAGCCAUGGUACAGAGCACGUAGUGCGCACUGUUGUCACGUGCACAUAAGAUGACACUAUUUUUCCACUGUGUGUGCCUGAAAGCAGUGUUCAUCCACAUUAUACUAUCUGUAAGGUAAAUAGCCUGGAACAUGGUGAAAAGGAUGAAGUUGUUUACGAGCAUUGCUUAUACUUCAUAACAUCGAACCAUGCUUCAUUCACUGGAAUUGACAUCCUGAACUUGGCCAAAUCAGGCCUCAGCACUGUACGAACGAAAGUGUGCUCACUGUGGCUACUUGUGUACAUCUUUUGCUCUUUUGUUUCCCCUUACCCCUUGAGCCUACACUGUCAUACUUGUGGAACCUUUUGUACAUACUUGCAGCAGCAGAUAUCUAUUUUAGAAAUCAUCGCUACCACAAUGUAACUGCCAUUUUCAUUGUGUGUGGUUGUUUCUGUAAAGACAGUAGCUGAGCAUCAGUGUGCAUGUGUGUGUGACCAACACCCACUGGAAAACAUAUACACCUGUACAAAGCCAUUCUCAUUGCAGUUGAAGCUUGCAUUAAAAAAUAUAUAUAUAUCCAAAGCAUGUUUACUUGCUGACACGUAGUGCAGUGCUGCCUAAUCCUAGUGGCACUGAUAACUAUGCUUCCAUCCCUUGGAAAUGAAAACAAAAGCAACUGCUGUGGGAAUUUCCUGCAUCUCAUUGCACUAAACUCUGUUGCUACCUGGCUCACCAUUGGCUCUUGUUAACUUUCACAUGUGACACUGUUUUCAGUAUGUGAGAUACUUAUUGUAUAGCUUAAAUUUACUGUCUCUGAUAUUGUUUCUCAAAGAAAGUUACAUUAUUUAGCAUGUUUAAAUAUAAAGAACAAAGUAAAAAUAUGUAUUGUAGGCUUUCUUUGACACUAACAAUGUUAAUUUUCAGGUCAGAUAAACAGGUUGGGCACCUUUUUUUUUAGUUCACAUUGGUGUAGUGAACUCCUUGUAAGCUAAGUUUUGAAAAUACAGAUUCCUGUAGCCCCUUUAUGUUCACAAGUUACUGUAGUUAUGUGGCCAUACCUAUGGGUCUUCCCUUAUAGCAUAACUUUUCUCAGAUGUCACGUGUAUCAAGGACUACAUUGGCUGCAUUUACGUGCUUCCUCUGCUGGAUUUUAAGGCCCACAUUAUGUAAAAUAUGAAGUGCACAAGGAUUCCGCUAAGGCCUUAUUUCAAUAUAUCUCCUGAUUUAAUGAAAUUUCUGCAAAUCAAGGUUGUAGGUAGCAAAGCUUUGCCUCUUCAGCUGUGGUACAUGAAGGGACCAAAGUUAUUUUAAAAAUGAUCAUAAUAUUUAAGUAGCUCUUCAAAAAUUUUCACUAAUUAAUAUUUUAAAUAAGGGCAUACAUCGCAAUUGUGGAAUCUGAGCAAGUCACUGCUAAAUCUAUGUACAUAUUUAUGAAUCUUCAGACAUGUGCCAGUUUUAGUAUACUCAUCUUAAAAAUAAAAAAAAUGAUGCACAAUUAAAACAUUGACAUUCUGAGUGCCAUUUUCCCAAGCAGCCUUCCUUAUGCACAGGGCAACAAAACUAUGCAUGGAAUGCCAGUGUGCUUCAUGGCACAAUUUAAAAGUAGACAUCUCAAAAGCGGUGCUAUUCCCGAGAUUUCUAUUAUAUAGACAAUUACAUUAUAUGUCUUAGGGUUACUUAUUAAUUAAACACUGUUUAUUGAUAUUUCUGUUAAUCAGCUCAUUGAUCAGGAUUUUCCAUUUAAUUUUAAUUCGUCCAUUUUAUUUCGCUUCGUCACAUGCGUAACAUUCAGAACUUCAAGUAAUCCACCUGAAGAGAUGAAGCUUCAGUGCAUGCAACCAUAAAUGAUUUGCAAAUUCUAGUUUGAUCAUACACGAUCACUGCAUGUAACAGCAGAAUGCAGAAGUUCACCUUGUCUGAAUGCUGUAUGUUUUAGUGUUAAGACAUGAGUUAUGGUGUUUCCAUGGAAAUGAAUGCAUUGUGGUUUGUACAUUUGUAUGUGUUUCUCUUUAAUAUUAUCGAGAAGCAGCGAUCAUUUCAGCACAAAUAUAGAAAUUGCAUCCAUAUCUAAAUUUUUUUUGCAGUUAUCUUGUUUUGGGCAUAGGAUAUGUACAUGAGCCACGCUAGAUUUGUUGGUGCUGCCACUAGCAAAUUUAAUAUUCAGUGUAUCAUGCAUUACUAUGCAUGACAUGAUAUUCAUUUAUGAACACUGUUUUAUAGAUGCAGGUUGCGGAAGUAAUGAUGUACACCACUGUUGUAAAAGGUUUGUAUGCUAAGACUGCACAGCUUGAAAUAUUAUCAUGUUACUUAUGUAACUCAAGGUUAAAAAGUCUCGAGUGCUUCAAUGAUUUCGUCCAUGGUAACCUUUGUUAAGAUUUCUUGACGUCCCAUGUACACGAUAACAAAAAAAGUAUAAGCCAGGCCAGGUUAGGACAGGGCCUUUGUCCAUUUUGUGUACUGCACUUGUGUUUAUGGCUGAUGUCAUUCGUCCAUUUUUGAAACAAAUGCUCAUUCAUAGGUGCAAAGCUAUUGAUUUUUGUGGAGUGUACUGUUUGAUAUUUUCAGCUUGUUUGGUUCAUUCAUAUGAAAGUGCCACAUACGAUUGUUAAUGCAGCGUUGUGUUAUUAGUUUUGAACAUUCAUACAGAUAUGGCUAGAGUACAGUGAAGUGUAAUGGAUACAUUCUUCUUUUUGUCUUGCACAGUGCCAAAUGCAGUAUUCGGUCACUUGGAAGUUGCUGCUGACUAUUGGUUAUCAUAGUGCAGUCUUUGUGCAGUGCUAGCAUUUUAUCAUGACACACUGGCCCAUGUGGAAUUUAGAGUCCAUAAGCAAUCAGAUUACAGAGCUUAGAGCUGUGAGCUACAGUGUAUGGCUUGUUGUCAUAGUAUAUUAUCACAACCAUAAAUCUUUCAUAUGAAGUUCACUGCAUGCACAAAUAUGCCUCCCAGCUAUUGGUAUUAGCUGAUAAAUCUUGCUGUAUCACUGACUACGUUAAGGCAGAUCACAUUAGCCAUGAGAUCUCAACUUGUAGCUCAUAUCUCAAAAUUCUGUGCUGAUAUAUUGUAGGUCAUUGUGAAAUGCGUAUAGGAAAUUAAAUUCUAUUUAAAACAACAUGUUGGCAUUGCUAUUGUAUCAAACAGUGUCAUACAGCUGAGCCCAUUUAUUUUUGUUUGCUUUUUGAUUUUAACAUAGGAGUAGUUAUGUUACUGCAUAGUAGCCUUCCAUAUAAUUCUUAUGUCUGGAACUCUGUGCACAGCAUUGUAUUUAUGGCACACAUCUUUUUAUUCAUUCAAAUGCCCCUAAGUGUCUUGUGUAUGUAUUAUUUUCUGAAAGCAAGAAAAAGUGUAAUUGGCUGUGUGAAUGAGCAGAUAACAGAACAAUUACAAUAAUGUAAGCAAGCCCCUGCAGUGAAGUUCCAAGACAGCUUUCUGUGGUUUCAUAUGGCAUAGACAAGUAUCACCCGAGUAUCUGCUGUAGGUAUCAAAUUUGCUAAGGCAUAAAGGACGUGCUUGCAAUGCAUCAUGUUAUCAAAUUUUUUGUUAACGAUUGAAUCGGUACUUGCUCCACUUCUGAGGUAUUCCUUUAAUUGACCCAUUUCACCUGUGCACCAUUGCCACGCUGUUUUUUGCCAUUCAUUUCGCACCUUGAGACAGGAAGCUGGCUGCGUGUUGGAAACUGCAGCCGGUAACUGUGUUUGGCUGGCCAAUAAUGAACAAGGUCUCCGUCCCACUGCUAGAAGUGGCCAGCUGAUGUGUGUUUGAAAGCUUUAAUGGUCAUUUAUUGGGAAUGUAUUCAUUGUGGUCGUCCAAACCUUGGAAACUCUGACAGAGCUACUGUGUAACUUGGCUAUGUUUGCAAGGGCUAAUGUAACACCGUACUUGUACAGACAAGUCCAGCGUGCCCUGUUAUGCUUGAAUACUUUGUACUUGCUAGAAUAGGAUGGGCAUCAGUGCCAGUGUUGCUUGGCAGCAGCAUGGUUCAUCAUGCUGAAAUAUUUACUAUGAUAGAUAAAUGUCAUUGUGACGGAGAUUAUAGCUUGUCUACUAUGAAUAGCAGACGUCACGGUGCUGCUUGCUGGAAAUACAGGCUAUGUUCAAAUAACAAUGAACCAAGUAGUCCCUUGACCACUUUUCAUUUGAAACAACUUCAUGUAGGUGUAGCAUAGUUUUCUUAUAAAAAAAAGAAAAAGAAUUCAUUACUGCAUUUUUGUGAUUAGCAAAUUUUAGAUCUUUGUGGUACAAAGCAGCACAGAAAAAAUGUGGCAGACCAUUUAAAAAACUUGUCUUCAUCAAUUUGCGUCAAAACUUCUCUGAAUGUCAACUCGUACAUAGGCUUCAUUCAAGAAUUGAAAAAUUAGGUUCCAUCAUAUUAAGCUAUAAAACCAACACUCUCUCUGACUUUAUGUAUUUUUAUCUUUUGUGCCAUUAGGAAUAUGUCAUCUAUUUUUAACACCUAAUUUCACUACCUUAGUAUUUAAUUCUAACAUAAUUGGGAAAUGUAACACACUUUUUGGUCAUUAGCUGUUAAGAUAUUAGCUGCCUAUGUAGUGGAGAAUGUGCCCUCUGCGGUAUGAAUAUGGUGCUCUCUUCGGCCACAAUAUUCAGGAGGCGCAUUUUCCUACCACACAUGAAAACCUUGCUGCAAACUAAAAAUAUUUAUGGGACUUCCUGGUUUAUUCUUAUCUUAACAUACACAGGAAUGUUUAAGGCUGCAAGUAAAGCUGAAAAUUGUACUGUGUUUCUUGUUGCAUAAUACAGUAGAACCUCAUUAUAGUAACCAAUUAGCAGCAAAAUAUAGACAAGGAAAACAAAGAUACACAUAUGCAGGCACAGUAUAUCUUUAUAAUUGCAAAAGUAUAUACCAUAGGCAAAAAUAGUUGUGUGUGUGUGUGCACAUGUAUGUGUACACACACGUACAUGUGUGUUAUCCACAAAUAGUAUCUUUCUUGACUUAAGGGCAACCAUAUUUUAGGCCAGCAAAGCAUGAGCAUGAAUAAUAAAUUGCUGUUUUUACUUUAAUGAUGCAUUAAAAAAUAUAUAUGUAUAUAUAUGUUUGCAGCUUUGCUCAAAAGGCUAAGCAUUAAAAAGUGAUAGCAAAGGAUUUGAGAACUACACAAUGUAAAGUCCAUUGUUUUAUUGGCUACACAAGUCACAUUAAACAUUCACUUCCUAAUUAACUUAACCAUGCUAUUAUGUGCACACAGGCAGACAUGAACAGAUCUCACUCGGUGACCAUGAACGCUCAUGUAACACUGGUGUGACCAACAAUGCAGGCAGAUGUUGGCCAAUGCUUCUCACUGCCUCUCACUUCAGCACUAUUAGAAAACUUGGAAAUUAGGCUACCUACAAUACUAGGCGUGGAGGAGAACAGCACACCAAGUCGCUGACCAUUUCAGUCUGUUAAGCCUUUGCACCUGCCGCAGAUGCAGAUUAUCUAGAAGAUAGGGCAUGGACUCACCUGCUCAAACACCCCCCCCUCCCCUCGCUUGAUCACUAGCUCGUGUCAGCUUUCCUCACAGUCAAAUAGUACAGCGUACAGGCUGAGAUGGGAUCGCGUCACACUUUAUAAGGAACAGCGCAAGAACAGUGAAAAUGCACCUGCACACCCCUAUAAUUGCUAUUGCAGUAAAAUACAGUGCUAAAGUUAUCGGAUACUGGUAAAUGUUUGCACCACCACACAUUUUUUUAUAUAAAAACAAUAACAGCACACUCAAAAAGAGCUUUUCAGACGACAAAAAUUGUGUCAUAUUUUUCACUUCAACACAACUUCCAAAAAUUCACGAUGUUUCAAGUACGUGUACGUACAUAUGGUAAAAAGCUUCUUUGUACGACAGCAGUAGCAGUACUGAUUGUCUUUUUGCUUCGUGAGGUAUUACUGUACUGAGGUUUUACUGUAUUUAAAACACUUUAUCUUGUUAUAUUAUAUCAUUUUAGACUGAUUGCAGACAUCUUUUAGAUAGGCAUAACAUGCAUUUAUUAUGCCAGCAGUGUCUUCAGGUACAUCCCAUGUUUACCUGUUCCUCUGUAUUCCCCAGUCACCUUGUUAAUAUUGUUGGCUUUAGUGAAAAGUGUACACAUCUGCCCUUCUUUUCUAAACUGAGUGGCUAAGAAAAAUGGUUUAUUUUCAGUCUCACCUGUUCAGAUAAUUGCAUAUGCAUUUUGGAAGACUUUAUUAGAUGAAAAGUGCUUGUAUCCUGCGGUGAAGGAUAUGGGUAUAGUAAUCAGAUUGAAGAGGUGUACACAGCCAACAUUCAUAAUUUGAAGCCUCAUUUUGUCAAAUCAAAACCAUUAUAUGUUGCCAAAGCAAGGCUACGUCUAGAGAUCUGUGUGUAUUGAAAAGUACAAAAAGGUGAAACCCGUCUUCCUGCCCCAUAAAUGCCUUUCUAUUUCCCACAAAACAGGAUCCCAGGUAGUACAAUGACAAAUUUGCCAAAUUUUCAAUCCUACCAUCUGUUUCCUGCACCAUCACCCUUCUAUAACAAAAGGCAAGACAUUGUUUCAUGCAUUGCCUAAGAAGUGUGUUGGCACUUGUUUUGUGCUGUGGUUCCUUUUAGAAUAAACGCUGUCCUGCCUGA